GCACUAGAAGGAGAGGUGGUGGUCGACUUGCUCCGGUUCUAAAGGCUUCGGUGGGGACUGUCUGCCAGUGUCAUCCUCCUAGCCCUGGGACUUGGUGGGACAGGCUUCCACGCGGAGACUUCUCUAGCACCCAGAUUUAGGCUGGCGUUGGGCUGGUUUAGUGACAGUCCUUCGUCCGGUAUCUCCACCCGGCGCUGGUCGCCAGGGCUCCCUCUUCGCUCCCUACCGCUGAUUUACAUGCUAAUUAUGUCUGGGAAAAGUUUUUUAAUUGGCAGAAUUAGGCAGAGCAAACGAAUUGUUUCACAGACUGAACCAAAUUAAUUCCGGUUUAGCUCCUUGCUUUGGAGAAACAAACAAUUAAGCUGUCUUGUUUGCUUUAUGGAUAUAUUGCAAGUGCCCCACAUCGCGUUUCAAGAUAUUGUUUAAAGGGUAAUUAUUUUCAAUAUUAAUACUUGUAUGUUUAACUUGUAGUAUCCCCGAGCCACGAGGAGGGAGAUUAAAUUUACCUAAUUUAAAAUUGCGGGAUACAAGAGGGAAAGAAUUUGAAUUUACUUUUGAAGGUAAAGAAAUACCACCCAGAAUCUUCCUGGCAAUUAUUAGAUCCUAAAAUCUCAGUAUCCAAUUAGGCGGCUGGUGUCCUGAACACAUGGUACCACAUUUAUACUUGCCAGAGAAAAAAAGAUGCUCCAAGAACCAGGAAGAAAAGUCAGUCACAAGAAACCUCGUGAAGCCAUUACCCCUUCGCAACCUCAGACUCUCCCCAAAACCUUAUUUAACUUUUCAGCAAAGUCGCUGCCCCUCCGAAGUUCUUGGAGUCUGCAAUGUACCCUGCUACUCAAGAUAAACCGCCAAUGAGAGUAAAGAAUCACCGAACGUUAGAAUUUGAAAACUUGGCAGGUUUUGUACUUUAGCGGCACGGUUGUAGAGUAUUUCAGGAAGCUUCCGCGGUUUAGGCAACAGAUUAGCUGGUCAUCUUGGACGAAUCCCUUAUCUUUCUAGAGUCACAGUUGGCCUACCUGCCCCUGGGGUUUGUAACUGAUUCACUUCCCAGGAAUGUUAUGGAUUAACCAGAGUGCAUGGGGAAUCCAGGACACCCACUUCCUGAUCUAAAGGUGAAUAAAGGCCACCCUGACAUCUAACUGCUGCCUUACAGUGUCUGGCAUCUUUCAGUGAAGAAAAAAAAGAGCCUUGAGACAUAAGAGGCCUCAAGUGUCUUUCCUUUGCUCUCUUUGGGGAAGGCGAGGACAAAGAAGAAGGGGAGGAAAGAAAAACCAAAAAAGAAAGAGGAGGAAGGCAAGAAGAAAAGGGAGGGAAGACAGCCGACUGAGGUUUUCGGGCCCUGCCUGCCCGUCAGCUGGCUCCAUUGCUGGUCCCUAGCAAGUGGAAAGGAUGGUGGAUGAGAGCCACAACAGAGGAAUACCGCUCAGGGGAUGACAACCAGAAAGCAAAGGGCCAGGGGCAAGACACCUUCAAAGAUCCACGGUCUCUGUUCUGCGUCUGGAAGACCCUAAACUCCUCCAAUCCGAUCACCUGCACCUCCUGCAGCUGCCUGGAAUUCUACACGCUGGACUUGGGUCUGACAGCAAGCAAUUAUUUGAAGCAGCUGGAUUCAAGAAGGCCGGAUCACAUGUUAUCACACACGGAGGAAUCAUAGGUUAUGGAAAGCUGAACAAUAUAAUUAUGUUCAUGGAGAGCCACUUACUAAUCGUGAAGGUUGGCCCAGUGUCUUGCAUGCUUGAACUCGUGAGGAAUCUAACAGGGAGCACCUAGUAAAACAGUUGACGAACACAUGAAUCACCAGAGGAACCCACACACAGCACCUGGGAUCGAUGACUAGAUAUUGUCUACUCAGAAACUUGGAGGUACAGUCAACAACUGAGCAUAUAAACCCUCUCCUUCCCAUUCCAACUCUGACAGCCAUGUCUUUAUAUUUUGGGGAACAGACCACCUACAUGGAUACCUGGUUUUCCACACAUUUGAACUUAUUUCUCCUAGGUUGGCCUGUCUUGCCCCCAAGAGUUUUUGUAGGAAGACAUAACUAAUGCAGGAAUGCUUCUUGC